rnacentral:rRNA from 1 species
AAUUAUUGGARGUCGUGCCUGCCCACUGAAUUAUUUUGAAUGGCCGCGGUAUUUUGACCGUGCAAAGGUAGCAUAAUCAUUAGUCUUUUAAUUGUAGACUGGGAUGAAUGGUUUGACGAGAUAGUAGCUGUCUCUUUAAUAAAAUUUGAAUUUUACUUUUAAGUUAAAAUGCUUAAAUGAUAAACUGGGACGAGAAGACCCUAUAGAUCUUUAUUUUUAAUUAAUUAAUUAAUUAUUUAGAAGUUUAAAUUAUUAAUUGAUAAAAAAUUUUGUUGGGGUGAUGGAAGAAUAGUAAAAGCUUCUUUUAUAUAAAAACUAAGAUUUUUGGAUAAAUUGAUCCUUUAAUAUGGAUAUAAGAUUAAGAUACCUUAGGGAUAACAGCGUAAUUCUAUUUGAGAGUUCUUAUCGACAAUGGAGAUUGCGACCUCGAUGUUGGAUUAAGAUUACAUUAUAGGUGUAGAAGCUAUAUAUGUUAGUCUGUUCGACUAUUAAAUUCUUACA